GUUUAUGCUUUUCUAGAUGCAAAUCGAUGUAUGAAGCGGGAUAUCCGCACCGGAGCGGACUUUGGCAAGAUUUACAGAGGGCGGGCAGGGCUCGGCACAGAGGACCGAAGAAUCUGACUCUGAGCGGCCGAGGGGCCGUGCUCCUUUGCAGAGGGGCGAAGCUGCACAGCCACAAGCGGUUCGAGAAAAGGCGAGAGACUCGUUAAGCGGUCUGCUCCGGCUCAAAUUUCCGAGGAGCUCACGGUAAC